rnacentral:rRNA from 1 species
ACAUGCAGUCGAACGCGUCUCCGUUAAUGAUUUUAGGUGCUUGCACUUGAAAGAUUUAACAUUGAGACGAGUGGCGAACUGGUGAGUAACACGUGGGUAACCUGCCCUUGAAGUAGGGGAUAACACUUGGAAACAGGUGCUAAUACCGUAUAACAACCAAAACCACCUGGUUUUGGUUUAAAAGACGGCUUCGGCUGUCACUUUAGGAUGGACCCGCGGCGUAUUAGCUUGUUGGUAAGGUAACGGCCUACCAAGGCGAUGAUACGUAGCCGACCUGAGAGGGUAAUCGGCCACAUUGGGACUGAGACACGGCCCAAACUCCUACGGGAGGCAGCAGUAGGGAAUCUUCCACAAUGGACGAAAGUCUGAUGGAGCAACGCCGCGUGAGUGAUGAAGGGUUUCGGCUCGUAAAACUCUGUUGUUGGAGAAGAACAGGUGUCAGAGUAACUGUUGACAUCUUGACGG